rnacentral:rRNA from 1 species
AGCAGUCGCCACGGUAAUACAGAGGGUGCGAGCGUUAAUCGGAUUUACUGGGCGUAAAGCGUGCGUAGGCGGCUUCUUAAGUCGGAUGUGAAAUCCCUGAGCUUAACUUAGGAAUUGCAUUCGAUACUGGGAAGCUAGAGUAUGGGAGAGGAUGGUAGAAUUCCAGGUGUAGCGGUGAAAUGCGUAGAUAUCGGAAGGAACACCUGUGGCGAAAGCGGCUCACUGGACCAUUUCUGACGCUGAUGCACGAAAGCUAGGGGAGCAAACAGGAUUAGAUACCCCCGUAGUCCCUGUCUCUUAUAC